GACGCACGCUAGCGGCGUGCCUAAUACAUGCAAGUAGAACGCAGUUGCGAACGGGUGAGUAACGCGUAGGUACCUGCCUCAUACCGGGGGAGAACUAUUGGAAACGAUAGCUAAUACCGCAUACUUUGAGCUGGACCUGCGUGGUAUUAGCUAGUUGGUGAGGUAAAGGCUCAACAAGGCGACGAUACAUAGCCGACCUGAGAGGGUGAUCGGCCAAACGUGGAAUUAGAGACGGCCGAGACACCUGCAGGAGGCAGCAGUAGGGAAACGUCGGCAAUUGACGGAAGGCUGACCGGGCAAUGACGCGUGAGUGAAGAAGGUUUUCGGAUCGUGAAGCUUUGUGGGUAGAGAAGCGGUAACUAACCAGAAAGGGACGGCUAACUACGGGCCAGCAGCCGCGGUAAUUC
rnacentral:rRNA from 1 species